rnacentral:lncRNA from 1 species
UAUGCAGAUGAGCUUUAAAAGAAAGAUGGCAUUAGUGGGAUUUACCCGAGUGCUCAGUUAUUUAAACUCUGACUGGGUUUGUAUUCAUCUUCAUAUCCUUCAGCCACUUUGGAAAUCUGACCUUGAAACAUCCAAUGCAUCCUUGUGGGCACAUUUCAGGAGAAAUCCAGAGGAGGAUGAGAGGAGCCUGAGGAUGCACAGACAGAAUGGAUUAUCUCCUAACUUAAGAAAGUCGACUUCUUUCACUGCCUGCCUGAGCCCUGGAAGCACUGGAAACCUUUUAUGCUGAGCCCAGGGACCAAACUAGCCAAGUCUGUCCCUGGAGCUUGUCCUGCACGCCAGCUCUGUAAAGAAGCUCAUGCUCCUCACCACCACCCUGGCCAGGAGCAGUCACUUGUUCUGGACUGAUUUAUAGCCUUUGGGCCUAAUAAACAUCAGCGAGAAAGGAAGGAACA